rnacentral:rRNA from 1 species
UUAGGAAUAUUGGGCAAUGGAGGGAACUCUGACCCAGCAACGCCGCGUGAAGGAAGAAGGUUUUCGGAUUGUAAACUUCUGAUCUAUGGGAAGAAGAAAGUGACGGUACCAUAGGAGAAAGCCACGGCUAACUACGUGCCAGCAGCCGCGGUAAUACGUAGGUGGCGAGCGUUGUCCGGAAUGACUGGGCGUAAAGGGAGCGUAGGUGGUUGAUUAAGUUAGAUGUGAAAGCCCGAGGCCCAACUUCGGAACUGCAUUUAAAACUGGUCAACUAGAGUGCAGGAGGGGUGAACGGAAUUUCUAGUGUAGCGGUGAAAUGCGUAGAUAUUAGGAAGAACACCGGAGGCGAAGGCGGUUCACUGGACUGCAACUGACACUGAGGCUCGAAAGCGUGGGGAGCAAACAGG